ensembl:lncRNA
CAGUUCUGGUGCAGCAGAUAGGCCAAUCUGCCCAGGAGGGUUUCGGAGAGAGUUCUUCAGUAUUAAAAGAGACAUCCUGGAAGAGGUAGUGCAUCUUCUCUUGGUUGUUGGGUCUAUGGUUGAUACUUGGACUGUGGCAGCCAUCCUUGGACCAUGGAAAGAACCACUUUGAGGAUAUAGGUAGUGAGGCAUGAAGACAAAAAGCCCCCAUAUUCCUCACGAUAUUGUUAACCUGAUGAAAGCCUUCUACCAAAACUCCCUGUGGAAAAAACAACCUCAGACUACCAGGGGAAAUGUUAAGGUCCACAAGCUUCAUGUGAGGUUGAGGAGCCUUUGUAAGAAAAAAUAAUCAAUAUGAGUUUCAGCAGAACUUUAUCUAACCGCCUUGACUCCACCAUGAAAGAUGUGACCAAUCUCUGAGGACACAGAAGUUGUGUCCAAAUGGGAACAACAUCACUCCAAUUUUUGGCAAGAAGACUUUGAAGGCCAAAAAUCAACAGAGCCAGAUGAUCGUGGCUGGAGACCUCCGAAACCAUGACCCAAACUGGAUCCUUGCUCCCCUCAACUGAUUUCUCAGGAAUUUUGCCACAACAAUAAAGACAACUAGCACAGUUAGUAGGUUGAAGACUCACCUAGGCCCUUGUUAAAGUUGCUAAUUUCUGGAGUCUACAGAUUCCUAUGAUGAAGGUCUCUGGGGAGGGACCCAGCAUCUGCAUUCUUAACAAGCUCCCUAGGCAACUGUCGUAGAGAUGAUCCAUGAAUUGGAUAUUAAGAAAGUCUGCUCUGAGAAUUCUGUAUUAAAGUAAGAUGUUAUAAAUAAAAACAUGUAGCUUUCUUCUCCAAGAAAGCUUUGCAUUUGAAAUAUUGUUCCACUGUUAGGAAUGAGGCUGAUACUGAAUAGUUCUCUUGGGAUCUACAAAUAGUCUGUGAGUUGUGAUAUAGCCACCCAAAAGCUAUUGUAUUGCUGUCAUUUUUCUUCAUAGAAGUACCUUAAACCUUAUGAAAGGAUUUUUUUGUUAUAGUUGAGGAAGGGGGGCAACAUAAUAAGAAAUAUGGAAGUCGGCUUUCCCUUCAUAUUUCCUCCCUCACUGCACAUGGGAGCAUAAGAGGAAGUCAAAAGUCUGCCAUCCUGAGACCAAGAAGCAAAGUAUUGACUUGUGAUUUUCUGACAGCAGAGUCUGUUAUUCAUCUUUGCAUUUUCUGUGUCCAUGUGUGACAGUGUUUAACUCAUUACCUUGGACCAAAUAGGAUCUUACUAAAUAUCUGUUCAGUAUGAGUAGAUUUGGCACAGUUUCUGGUCUAAACUUAUAAUAACACUUAGAAAGUGACAAGUAUAUCCUAAAUCCUUAGCUCUGAAAGGACAGAAACAUUUAUUUAUUUGUUUAUACUACCAUUGUAUACAAUAGGCAAUAAACAAACAUUUGUUUAAUAACUAUAUAUAUAUAUAGUUUUUCAUGAGCACAGGUUUUCAAAGUGAUGUUCAGCAACAGAACUUUCCUAUUAGAGGAGAAUUCAUGCAGAUAAGAGAUAAGAAGGAUAAAGGCAAAGUUGACUGAUGGGAAUUGGAGACUCUUCCUUUUGCUUCACCAUCUUGCAAGAUGAAAGAGCUCCUGAACCAAUUCCUUUGAAUCUACUUUAAAACCAUUGGUCUAUAGAAUCUUCACAAGGUUCUUAUGCCUCUUUUUACACUUCCAACUUUUAUACUUAAUAUCAAGUAUUACUUAAAAAUGACAUUUAUAGUCAAUCUUUUAGUAAUAAACAGAAAAUAUUUUCUUCACAAGUGGCACUAAUUCUGAAUUUCUAGCCAUAGUGUGUGCAUAUCCUGCACUUUCUUUAUAAAAUCUAAAAUUAAGCCAGGCAAGGUGGUGCAUGCCUAUAAUUCCAGUACUCUUGGAGGAAGAAGCAGGAGGAUCCCAGGUUUGAGCCUAACCCAGCAACUUAGUAAUGUAGCAAGGCCAUAUCUCAAAAUAGAAAUAAAUACAAAAAGAAGGGCUGGAGAUGUAGUUCAGCGCUAUGACCCUGAUUCAAUCCCCAGUACCACAAAAAUAAAAAAAUAAGUAAAUACUACAUUAUAUAUGUAUGUAUAUAUGUAUAUAUAUGAUAUAUAUUUGAGAAACAUAAUUAUUCUAAACUUUUUAAUUUAUCUUAUAGAUUGCUUCUAUCACACCUUCUAGUUACUUAUAAUAGGCUACAGUUUCCCAUCAGAUGUCUACUAGUCUCCUUGGUAAGCCAGUGGGAAUAAAAAUCAUGGCAUCUCCUUACACUUGCCUCACCUACAAUUCACCACCACCAUCAUUACUGUCACCCCAGGGUGAACAUACCAGGCUGGCCACUUAGGGGAUUCAUCUCCCUAACCUGUGUGAUUGGCUCAGGGGCUAGCACAUGACUUGGGGCUAGUAGCUGGGUGCUUGGAGGGAAUAUUCUUAUUCCACUCUACUGCUGCCCUAUAAGCAUGAGAAUUUGGGGAUGCUGGUGACCAUGUUGCUUAUUACACAUGAAAUUUGCCUGCAGAUUGAAGUAAAGAGAAACAGGAAGAGACAAGCUGGGGAGAGACCUGAAGAUAUUUAAACUUUUGGAUUUGGCUACAUUACACACUUGGCCACUUCUGACUUACCUAAACAUGGGCUAACACAUUUCUUUUCUCUUAAAAUAAACUGAAUUUAAUUCUACCACAUAGAAAAAAGUGUUCUUUUUUAAAGCAAAACAGUAUCCAGAAUAACAUGAGAAAUCUAUGAAAUGAUACAACAUUGAAGAACCUUUCCUCCUAACCACUCUUCCUCAGAAGAAACAUGUUAUCUAGAUACGAGAUCUUACUAUAGAAUACUGAAACUUCGUUAAUAAAACUUUCAAAUAGCUAUAUAAAAAGACUGUAGUUACAAGACCUAUAUUUUAUUUUGAUUAAUGUCAUUGCAUGUUCUAUGUUAUAUGUACCAUUUUAGGCAAGAAGAAUGAAAACAAGUAAAAAUGAGUGUUUCUGUUUAACUGAAACUUUUUCUCUAUGUUUUCUUGUAUUUUUCAAAAUUUUAGAAAUUAUGCACUAACAUUUUUUGUCAAGUUUUUAAAACAUUUUAGUACAUGUGUGUGAUAUGUAAUGAUUACCUUGUGAGUAGUUGGCACAUAUACGUAACACAUCUUAAAUAUUUUUACAUUCCCUUCGCUUCCCCCACCUCCUUCUUUCAUCUCUUGAUCUCCAUCCCUUUUACAAAAAAUCUAUCUCCCUCUUGCUUAUUUUCUAUCUUUUAUUUUGCUCUUUAAUUUAUUUAUGAUUUGGGUUUCUUAUAUAAGAGAAACCAUGCAAUAUUUAAGCUUGUGUGUCUGCUUUAUUUCACUUAACAUUAUGGUUUCAAGAUGUAUCCAUUUUCCUACAAAUAACUUAAAUUUAUCCGUCUUUAUAGCAGAGUAGUACUCCUUUGUGUAUAAAUACUGCAUUUUCUUUAUCCAUCCAUCUGUUGAUAUACACAUAGGCUGCUUCAAGAUUUAGUUAAUAUGAACUGUGCUUCUCUAAACAUGGGUAUAGAUGUAUCACUGUAAUGUGACACCUUUACUCUUUUGGGAGGAUACCUAGAACAGGAAUAGCUGGACUGAAUGCAAUUUCUAUUUUCAGUUCUUUGAGGAAACUGCAGUGAUUUCUAUAGUGAUUGUACUAGUUUACACUCUCACAAAAAAUGUAGAAAUCUCCAUUUUUCCCUGCAGCCUGUUCAACACUUAUUAUUUGAAUUCUUGAUGAUAGCAAUUCUUUCUGAAAUAAGAUGUAAUCUCAGUGUUGUUUUAACUUUCAUUUCUCUAGUAGCCAGCAAUACUGAACAUUUUUUCAUGUAUUUAUUGGUUAUUUGUAUUUCUUUUGAGGAAUGUCCAUUCACUUCAACUGCUCGUAUUUUGAUUGGGUCUUUUAUUUUG